UACGUAGGGGGCUAGCGUUGUCCGGAAUCAUUGGGCGUAAAGCGCGUGUAGGCGGUUCGGUAAGUCCGCUGUGAAAGUCGGGGGCUCAACCCUCGGAUGCCGGUGGAUACUGUCGGACUAGAGUACGGAAGAGGCGAGUGGAAUUCCUGGUGUAGCGGUGGAAUGCGCAGAUAUCAGGAGGAACACCAAUAGCGAAGGCAGCUCGCUGGGACGGUACUGACACUAAGGCGCGAAAGCGUGGGGAGCGAACAGG
rnacentral:rRNA from 1 species